rnacentral:rRNA from 1 species
GUUAGAAAGGGCGCACGGUGGAUGCCUUGGCACUAGGAGCCGAUGAAGGACGGGACAAACACCGAUAUGCUUCGGGGAGCUGUAAGUAAGCGUUGAUCCGGAGAUUUCCGAAUGGGGGAACCCACUGUCCGUAAUGGGACAGUAUCCAUACGUGAAUCCAUAGCGUAUGGAGGGCAUACCCGGGGAACUGAAACAUCUAAGUACCCGGAGGAAAGGACAUCAAACGAGACUCCGUAAGUAGUGGCGAGCGAACGCGGACCAGGCCAGUGGCUUUUAUGAGACAAGUGGAACACCUUGGAAAGGGUGACCGAAG